CGCUAGCUACAGGCUUAACACAUGCAAGUCGAGGGGCAGCAUGGUCUUAGCUUGCUAAGGCCGAUGGCGACCGGCGCACGGGUGAGUAACACGUAUCCAACCUGCCGUCUACUCUUGGACAGCCUUCUGAAAGGAAGAUUAAUACAAGAUGGCAUCAUGAGUCCGCAUGUUCACAUGAUUAAAGGUAUUCCGGUAGACGAUGGGGAUGCGUUCCAUUAGAUAGUAGGCGGGGUAACGGCCCACCUAGUCUUCGAUGGAUAGGGGUUCUGAGAGGAAGGUCCCCCACAUUGGAACUGAGACACGGUCCAAACUCCUACGGGAGGCAGCAGUGAGGAAUAUUGGUCAAUGGGCGAGAGCCUGAACCAGCCAAGUAGCGUGAAGGAUGACUGCCCUAUGGGUUGUAAACUUCUUUUAUAAAGGAAUAAAGUCGGGUAUGGAUACCCGUUUGCAUGUACUUUAUGAAUAGGGAUCGGCUAACUCCGUGCCAGCAGCCGCGGUAAUACGGAGGAUCCGAGCGUUAUCCGGAUUUAUUGGGUUUAAAGGGAGCGUAGAUGGAUGUUUAAGUCAGUUGUGAAAGUUUGCGGCUCAACCGUAAAAUUGCAGUUGAUACUGGAUAUCUUGAGUGCAGUUGAGGCAGGCGGAAUUCGUGGUGUAGCGGUGAAAUGCUUAGAUAUCACGAAGAACCCCGAUUGCGAAGGCAGCCUGCUAAGCUGCAACUGACAUUGAGGCUCGAAAGUGUGGGUAUCAAACAGGAUUAGAUACCCUGGUAGUCCACACGGUAAACGAUGAAUACUCGCUGUUUGCGAUAUACGGCAAGCGGCCAAGCGAAAGCGUUAAGUAUUCCACCUGGGGAGUACGCCGGCAACGGUGAAACUCAAAGGAAUUGACGGGGGCCCGCACAAGCGGAGGAACAUGUGGUUUAAUUCGAUGAUACGCGAGGAACCUUACCCGGGCUUAAAUUGCAGAUGAAUUACGGUGAAAGCCGUAAGCCGCAAGGCAUCUGUGAAGGUGCUGCAUGGUUGUCGUCAGCUCGUGCCGUGAGGUGUCGGCUUAAGUGCCAUAACGAGCGCGACCCUUGUUGUCAGUUACUAACAGGUUCUGCUGAGGACUCUGACAAGACUGCCAUCGUAAGAUGUGAGGAAGGUGGGGAUGACGUCAAAUCAGCACGGCCCUUACGUCCGGGGCUACACACGUGUUACAAUGGGGGGUACAGAGGGCCGCUACCACGCGAGUGGAUGCCAAUCCCCAAAACCUCUCUCAGUUCGGACUGGAGUCUGCAACCCGACUCCACGAAGCUGGAUUCGCUAGUAAUCGCGAAUCAGCCACGGCGCGGUGAAUACGUUCCCGGGCCUUGUACACACCGCCCGUCAAGCCAUGGGAGCCGGGGGUACCAGAGGUGCGUAACCGCGAGGAGCGCCCUAGGGUAAAACUCC
rnacentral:rRNA from 1 species